rnacentral:lncRNA from 1 species
AAAGAUGAAGAAAACUAUCUCUGUUUCUAAAAUUCUAUUGCAAAAUUUCAUCCCAUUCCUUCAUUUUCAAUUGUUUAGUUUCCCAUUAAUGUUUGUUGGUUGAACCACCACUAGGUACACCAACAUCCAUUGAUUUCAUGGCAUCAUCAUUUCUUCUUUCUCAAAAAUCAACAUCGAAGUUUCUACGGUGGGAGAGAAAUAUGUGUGGUUGUUGAUUUCACAGAAGAAAGGCAAAAUGAAGUGGGAAGAGUACAGAUCUGAUCUGGAAAGACUGAUAGUUGUUAAGGGUAAUAAAGGAAUAAAAAAAAUUAUGAAAGUGUAAACUAUCAAUAAAUGAAGAUUUGAUUUUGCAUUCAACGUGGAAACUAGGAUUUCUGGCUUUGGGUAGAAUCAAUUUUAGAUGCCAGAAUCAAUUGUGGAAUAGAAAACCAAACAU